rnacentral:rRNA from 1 species
GAUGAACGCUAGCGGGAGGCCUAACACAUGCAAGCCGAGCGGUAUUUGUCUUUCGGGACAGAGAGAGCGGCGUACGGGUGCGGAACACGUGUGCAACCUGCCUUUAUCUGGGGGAUAGCCUUUCGAAGGGAAGAUUAAUACCCCAUAAUAUAAUGAAUGGCAUCAUUUAUUAUUGAAAACUCCGGUGGAUAGAGAUGGGCACGCGCAAGAUUAGAUAGUUGGUGAGGUAACGGCUCACCAAGUCGAUGAUCUUUAGGGGGCCUGAGAGGGUGAUCCCCCACACUGGUACUGAGGCACGGACCAGACUCCUACGGGAGGCAGCAGUGAGGAAUAUUGGACAAUGGGUUAGCGCCUGAUCCAGCCAUCCCGCGUGAAGGACGACGGCCCUAUGGGUUGUAAACUUCUUUUGUACAGGGAUAAACCUACUCUCGUGAGAGUAGCUGAAGGUACUGUACGAAUAAGCACCGGCUAACUCCGUGCCAGCAGCCGCAGUUCCAC